CAAAUGCAUUUAAUACAACUUCAGAAGUCCCCAUUGUCUUUCUCAGUCUCAACACAGUUUAAAAGUCCAAAGCCUAUUCUGAGACUCAAGGCAAUCUUUUAGUUGUAACCAUUUGUAAAAUCAAAAAGCAAAUCACACACUUUCAACAUAUAAUAGCACAGAGUAUAUGUUACCAUUCCAAAAGGGAGGAAUAGAGCUAUGUGAGGAAAUACUGCUGAGUGAAACUGAGGACAUGACUGCUCCGAGGUAUGGUUGAGGAGAAGGGUUUUACUGUAGAUAGGAGGGAACUGCCAGAGGGAGCCUAAAGGGUUCAAGCUGAACCAGGUCAUGAGAGGACAGAGGGUGGCUGUGGGAAGGGGGUGAGAGAGGAAGAGAAGAGAGAGAGGAGGAGACAGAGCAAGUGGAUCAAGAGAGGAGCUGAGGAACAAGAGGAGAAACGGGGGGAGGGGUGGUGGCAAGAGAUCACAUGGCACAAACGGUGGAUUUAUAUAGGAAAGAUACUGAGGGAAGGGGAGCUGGAGAGGCUUAGGGUUGGGAGCAGGGGUGAGAAGCACAGAGAGGAAACAGGACUCUGUAACAGAUACUUGCAAUACUGAGAGAGCCUGGCAGCUUGUGCAUGCUUUGGUGUGUUAAAUAGACAUCACAGUUAGCUGUUUCAACUGGACCAAAACAAGACUGAAACCCAGCCGGACAAACUCUAAAUCCUGUAACUAUAUGUUUAAUGUCAAAGGGCUUAGAUUGCACCAGUUUUACAGCUUUGAUAACGACAAUACACUUCUCUCUUUAGGGCUGGUUCCAUUCCCUUCUUGGAGCUCUUUCUGGUAGACAACGCAGUACUCUGGCACAAUCAACAUCUUGGGGUCUUGAAAGUAAUCUAGACUUCAUCAUCAUAGCCUCACUUGACCACUAUGGUUCUCCCAUCAUAUGCCUGGCUUCAACAGCUCCCUUAACAGUGGGAGAAGCUUCCUCAACCCCUUCACUCCUGUAUCCUUCAUAACUUUAAAACCAAAACAAAGUGGCCUGUACUGCUAAGUUUUGCUACCUGUUUAUAACGGAACCUAAUCUCCUGCUUGAAUUUCAUUUGCAUAAGCUUUGAUUUGUUGAUACUUUCAUUUGUUAAGUAAGCUUUCCUUUCCUCUAGGAGAAGAUUCCUUAGGCAUUUCCUGUUUACAAGUUGGAAGUGUCUAUGGAUGGAUUCUUGCCCUAUGAGCAUCACUUUCUUUAUUCCACUUCCAGUCAGUUCGGCUGCAGUGAACAUCUGGGUAUCCUGUAAUUGCUCUUUGUUCUGACCGUCCUUCCUGGAGAGAACCAGAUGCACCGGUGAGGACCAGUGCCGCCAUGUGAUUCCUGCAAGAGAAGAUGCCUGCAGCUGGCGUCUGAUAAGGUUUUGAGAAGAAUAUUAAUGACAAUUGAUGCAGUGGUGGAAGCCAUGCUGUCACCCUUGGGAACGGUGCAUAGGUGUGUUGCAAAUGGAGUUCCUUAGACGGCAAGGGCCUUUGGAGAAUCCCAUCCAUUUGGCAAGGACCUAUGGGGUACCUGUAUAGCCCUACCUGUCCUGGAAAUGGCUGUGUAAACUACCUUGGCUUGGAACUCAGAGAUCCACUGCCUCUGCCUCUCAAGUGCUGGGAUUAAAGGCGUGCGCAAUCACCUCCAGAUCUUAAAUUCAAUUCAUUUACAACUAGGUGAGUUGUUUAACAGCCAUGUAGUUAUGAAACCAAAAUGCCAUAAAGGGCACAGUGUCUCCUGUCCCAGUUCUCAC
ensembl:lncRNA